AUACUGUCGAUACAAUGCUUACUGUUAGAUCUCUGUGUACUAUAAGUCUGUUGAGUUGUGUGCUGGCAACUUGUCGGGAGGGCUUUAAACUCGUGGGUACAAAAUGCUACAUUAUAUCCGAGAUAGAGAUGGAGUGGAUUUUGGCCGUGGAAUUUUGCUUUGAGAAGAAAGCCCAGAUGUUCGUGUUGGAGAAUGAAAAGGAAAGGCAACUUCUGCUACAAUUUUUCAGAGCCGAAAAUGUUGACUUAAACUGCUUUCUUAAAGGUGUUUGGACAGCAAUUAAUUGCCUGAAAGAAAAUCGCGUAUUUGUUGUGUAUCCCACUGGCGAAGAAAUUCCUUUCAAUAUAUGGUUACCUGGAUAUCCUAACAAAAUGACUCAAAGGUGUGUGCCAUGUUGUUAUCAUACAGACAAUUUAGUAUAUAUGGAUUGGGACUGCGAUAGUACCCGUUAUAGAGCUGUAUGUCAGUAUCCAGCACCUCCCAUAAUAAGCUGAAAUUGGCAUUGAAGUUGAACAAGCCCCCAUAUUAUGAACUUCUUAAGCACAAUGCCUCGUAAAAUGUAAGGCCACUUGCUCAGAUCGAUUUUUAAAAUUUACUUCAUUAAAUUAAUUAAUUGAAAUAAAAUAACAAUAUAUAUUUGAUAUUACAUAA